rnacentral:rRNA from 1 species
GUGAGCACCUCUUCCCAUUCCGAACAGAGCAGUUAAGCCCGGGUGCGCCGAUGGUACUGGGGUCACACCCGGGAGAGUAGGUGGCCGCCAACC